rnacentral:ncRNA from 1 species
UCUCCGAAAUGGCAAAGCUCUCGAAAGGGAGGGACGCAAAGCCACGGGCCUAAGGCGCAAGCUAGGGUGGCAGGGCUGCCGAA